CAGAGAGCCACUGGGGCAGGAAUAACGUGUGAUAAGAGAGAAUCAAACAGCCAGAUACCCCUGCUCCUGCCCCACACGCUGCCCCCUGCCCCCGCCCCUAACCCUGCCUCACACCCACUCUCUGCCCUCCCUAGCCCUGCUCCUGCCCCACACUCCGCCCCCCCUUUCUAGCCUCAGUCCUGCCCCCUACAUCUCUGCUCCGGGCCCGGACCCGUCCCCUCGACGCCCCACAGCAGAGCCCUGCGGCGGCGUGCGUCGGCCUCUCACACUUUGUUUACCUCCGGCGAGCGGCCACGGGAGGGGGAGGGGACUCACGGCCGCCGCUGCCCCACAGCCGCCUGGGAAAUGUAGUUCCCGGCCGCCUCCCGCUCCCGCAGGAGCGGGCGCCGUGAUGCAUUGUGGGAAGCGUGUCUCUUCCCGCCUCUCUCCUCCCUUUCGGGGCAGAGCCAGGCGGGCGCCUGGGGUGGCCGUUGGCCGGGCUGUGCGUUCCCGCGCCUGCUGAGGGGAGGCUGGCGCGCUCUGCCCCUUACCGGCCGUCACGUGCUUUAAUCCCAGGUUAGUCCGGUGCCAGUGGAAGGGGCCAGCCCCGGCGGGGCCACCCCGCGGACGCGCCUCAGGCAGUCCCGCUUGGAGGCGGGCGAGAAGCUUGUAUGGAUAAAGCUCUGCCUACUAAACAAUGGCAUCCUAUAUUAAAAACUGCAUGGCAAAUGUGCAGCUGCUCAAUGACAGUGACUGCUAAUAAGAGCAGCCUUCUCAACGAAGAUAUACGAAAGUGCCAAUGGCUGCUUAGGAUUUUGGACCCCCUGUGCACCUGUCCUGGCUCCACUUGCAGUCUCUCCUUGACACCCAGCCAGGGUGCAGGGAGUGAGCAGGGAUUCCACUGCAGGGACUCUGCCUGGACAUUGGAGGCAUCGCUGUGGUGCUGAUACUACCCAGUAUGUGUGGUGGUUUCUGAGCUCUCACAAGGACCCUGUUUUCAAGUCUUUCUCCAUAGCCAUGAGGGCUAGAAACUUCUUUCUUUCUAAAAUGAAAGCUGAAAUUUGCUUCUCUUGACUCCAGCAGCUGGUAUGUUCAGAAAAACACCCAAUAUUGUGAGACCCACAAUACGAUCACAAGAGCUGGCAAUACUGUGUUGACAGAGCAUUUGAUCUGCUGCCUAACUGGAACAUAUCCUGUUCAGAAAGCAUAUUGCUUCAGCAUUACUUAUCUGUGCUGGAAGUUCCGGGUCCCUUUGAGCAACAACUUGUGCCAUCUGUUUCCCUCCGUGUUGUGCAACAGAGGGGAGCGUGCUCCUGAAGAUCACAGACUGAGAUCAGAGGGCCUGUCUCUCCUCUCAGCGAGGCCAGUUCUACGCCUCUGAACAUCAAUUAAAAUUGGUUGCACCCAAUUUCAGCAGCGUAAAUGGAAAGAGAACCAAGCUCAAUAUUUUCAGAACAUAUCAGCUGCCAAGUGGAUUAUGACUGCUUCUCCUCUGCCCUGUUGGCUGGGAUACCAGUUUCAUCGUUUUGAUACAGGUCUGAAGCCUACUGGGGACAAGAACAACAAGAAAAUUCAGAGCAAGACUGGCCAAGAAGAAAGUUCUGCUAAACAUCUGUUCGGACACUUCCAGCCAUUGUUCUCCUCCAACCUGAUUUUAUUUAUAAUUGAAUCCCGAAUAAAAACAGUCUCUGACUGAUCCACUUUGACUUACUUUGAAAGGUUAUUGGCAGAUUGUCAAAAUGUACAAUUUCCCUUGAGAGUAUCUGGAGCAGCCAUUGCCUUGUCCAUCAUCUUCCUCCCAAAAGGACUUUCACCAGCUAGUGACACAAACAUGGGAAUCAUAUUUAUUAUUUGCUUGAGACAAUGCCCGCAACAUGCUUGGUACUUUCCAGGCACCAUGCACCUUCCAACACACACCCAAUAGCGCUCUUGUCAUGCUAAAAAUCUUAGUAAUAGCAUGUGAAGACAUUUUGUGCCUAUGCUCACACCUCGUGGUCAUUUUGCCGGGCUGGUUUAACAUCACAUCUGAAGGAGAGAGUCUGUGACAGCAUUGGUAGUGCACUGCAGUGCACAUAUUAGGGUUUGGCGCUCAUGAUUUUCCAUGGAAGCUGAACCAGUGAGCCAAGACACUCUGACCCACUGGAUUGCAAUCCAACAGGAUCAUCAGAAUCAUAAAAAACUCACAAGUCAUUGCAAAACAAAAGCAUUUCACGUAUUGGUUUGGUUUUGGUGAUAUUGACAUGUUUUGGUUUUUUUGAUGGAGGAAAGUUCUUGGAAGGCAGGAAGUUGAAUAUGAGACUUGUAUAAUCCUCUGUUCCAGAGGGUACCGUUUUAAUAAUAUUCAGACCUAUAUUUUUGCACCUGUUGCUGGUUGGAAAAGUUAGGAAAUAGUCUCAAAAACUUUGAAUAAAAUGGAUGGAGCUCA